CAGUAAUCAUCGAGUCUUUGAUGAUAACCUUGGCACGUUCAGCUGCAAGUUCCAACCUCGCAGCCCCCAACUCUCCCCUAAGCUGGGAGAUGUCCUGCUCCUUUUGUUUCAGAGAGUUUCUUUGAGCAGCCCAGUCAUCAGCCAACUUUUUGUUAGUUUCAGACAAGGUUGAGGCGUCUGAAAUCUUCUGUGCAACCUCACCUUCCAAGUCUCUGCACAGGCGCUUCAUUCUCUUCAACUCAUCUUCCAUGGACUGGGAGUCACGAAGAUGAGAUAGAGAAGAGAUGCGGCCCUGGAACAA
rnacentral:lncRNA from 1 species